rnacentral:lncRNA from 1 species
CCAACCAGGUCCUCGCCGUCGCCGACACGAUCAUCGCCGGCGAGUCCAUCAUAAUCACCUCCAACGGUAACCAGUACCAUGACUGGUACGCGAUUCUCCAACUCGCUCGCUUCACUCACUCCAUCGAACUCAUCGCGACUCAGUACCGGAAACUCGCGCUGUUACUCAGUCCCGAGCGGAACCGCUUCCCCUUUGCGGAUCGGUCCUUCAAGCUCGUUUACGACGCGUGGUCGAUACUGUCGAAUCCCGCGAGAAAGAUAAUGUACGAUACGGAUUUGCAGCUGAGUCAACUCGGUGAACGACCGAGGCAAACUCAAAUGCCACCUCCACCUCAGCCACCGCAGCCGAUACAGUCGCAACCGGUCAGAAGAAGCCCGCCUCCUCCGGCGAGAAGGAGCCCGCCUCCUCCGGCGAGAAGGAGCCCGCCACCUCAGGCUAAAAUAAGUCCGCUUAAUAAGGACAAAGGCGUAAGCAAUAGGACAGUAGAAGAAGAGAGGUCAAGUUCGAAUAACGUGACUGAGUCGACUCGCGAAGCUCGAACGAGUCGGACCGAGACGAACCGUCCGAGCGAGGCAGCGUAUGAGGGACCGCGUUUCUGGACGGCGUGUCCCUAUUGUUACAUUCUCUACGAGUACCCAAAGGCUUACGAGGACUGUACGCUCAAGUGUCAAAACUGUAAAAGAGCAUUUCAUGGGGUAAUGAUUGCGUCACCGCCUGUGACGGAGAAAGAUACGUAUUUUUGUUGCUGGGGUUUCUUUCCGGUUGGUUACUCAGGCAAUGCGAAAGACACGGGCGGAAAUUUUUCUAAGUGGACCCCGGUAUCUCCUAUGUUUGCUUGCCCGAAGCCAGGGCAAAAUAAUAAGAAGACAAAUAAACGAGUUCAAGUUUUGUAUGAUGAGGUGCUCAUUUCUGAUUCAGAAUCUGAUCCUGAGGAAUCUGAUGAUGAGUGGGGGAGUAAUAAGAAGAAAAAGAAGGCCAAAAAUGUUAAAGGAAAAGGGAAUGAAGUUAGAAAAAAUGUGAAAAGAACCCCGGUUGAGAGGGGUAAGAGGGGCAGCCAAAAUCAAAAGGAAAAUCAAAAUGCGGGUGGGAAUGUGGAUGGAAUGGUUGGGACUUCGAGUGGUGGUGGUGGGGCGAGAGUUCUUAGAAGUAGCGGAAAGAAGCAAAUGGGGAAUGGGUUGGACUUGAAUGUGGAGUUUAGUAAUGAGUUGGAAGAGCCGAUGGCGGCAGUGCCACCAAGAAUGAAUCCAGAGAAUGGAAUGGAGGAUAAUAUCGAUGGUGUCUUUUUCGAGGGGCUUGACGAGUUUUUGAGUAGUUUGCCGAUACUCAAUGUGGUGAAAGAUGAUAAGGUUAAGCCAACUUAGUGAAGUAAGACUCUCCCUGUUGUUGAUGAUGUUCAUUGCCCUAGUUGCUGUUGUAGUUUUGGUAUGCUUGUAGUAGUUUAAAUCAUGUAGAGGUACUGGCUCUGGCAUUUUGGUUGCUGGGAGUUGAAAUCUAGUAUAUAUUUUUGUGCAAUAAGGUAUGUCUUAUUGCUGACUUUAAGUGCUCCCUCUUUUCAUUGUGUAUUGGCAUGCUUUUUAAGUAUGGUUUACUUAUAAUUUAGCACGGUAAGUAGUUUCUAAAAUCUUGAACAUAUAUAUAUUAAUUUUUUUCCUGUUAAGCUUAACUAGGAGCCUCAUUACUAAGCCGUCCUUAAGAGCUUCACUAGGAGCCUCAUUAAGCUUUAUAUCAAUGAACAUGAUUUUAAUCUUUUUGAAUAAUUUUGUUUGAUAUGAACAUGUUUCAUAUUUAUUUAUUUUCUUCUCUUCCCGUGGCCGGCUAAACUAUCAUUUAUUUAUUUUUAUCAAUUUUAAGUGUCCAAUGCAUAUCAUAUGAAAUAUUGUUUUUCCUUUUAAUUGUUAUUGAUGUAGUUCAGGAGUGGAUUGUUUUCUUCCUGUUUGGUUGUUAAUCAUGCAGUAGAAUAUGGCUGAAGAUAUUUAAUUGUGAGUUCUAUAGUUUAGACUUUCUUUGGGAAAAAGAAAAAAAAAAUCCCAUUCAAGUUGGUUUUAGGUAACACUAAUAUAUGUUCCGGAUAGAUCUAAAUCUGAUGCACUCUUAUAAACUCUGAAUGUAUAAGUCCAACUACUAUUUUUUUUUCACCAUUUCUUUUUUUCCCUUUUUCUUUCAUCUGUGAAUGUAAGAGUCCAAUCUACUUGUCUCUCGUUUGAGAAACAUGUGAAAAUCAAUAUUUUGACAUUUAUUCUUGUAAAUAGAAUCAUUGUUUGUGGUUUUCGUGUUAUAAAGAAGUAUAACAAUAGUUAUGAAAUAAGAACUAGAAUGGUGGUGGUGGUGGUUAUAAUGAUGGUCUCGGUGGUGGUGUGUUGGGGAUGAAUGUGAUGAACAAGAUAAAGUUUUCAUGAAAUUAAUGAGUAGUCUAUGCGAUGGGAAUCACUUUUUCUGUGUUGUUAUAUCAUUCAUGCCUAUAUUCUCGUAAAAAUCAUACGAACUAUUUUUUAUUCAGAUAAAUGCCUUAUUGUAGUAGCCAAAUCACAAUAUCUUAAUCAUUUUGACGAAGAUGCCUUCAGACUUCAUAUGAAAAGGGAAACAACUUGAAGGCAGCUAGAAUCACUAUGCCAUCUGCUUAUUGUUGUUGUUUUAACCUAAUAUUUAGAAGGUUAACUGAUUCUCAUGCGAAGUAAAAGGAAAUGUCAAUAUAAAUGAAUUAACAUGAGUAUUUUAGAUCUUGCCCUUCAAAACAUUUUUAUAUGGUUUUGUUAGAGCAACUCCGAAAGGCUCAUCUAAUAAUACUCUUCAAAUACUUAUUUGCUUACCUAUGAAGCAAAUAAAAGAGCGAAGGAAUAAGCUUCCUUCCAAAAGGCUUUUCAAAUAAAAAUAAAUUUAUAUUAUUUUAAUCAAAUUUGCUGAUAUGACUACUUCCAAAAGUCUUUUCAAAUAAAAAUAGGUUUAGAAAUGAUUUUGUAGUGAUGCAAAUAUAAAAUAAUAGUAAUUGAAGAACAAGAAGUGGAACUUCAAUAUUGAAGGGAGAGAAGUGAAAUCUCAUUUGAAGAAUCUCAUUUAAAUUUGGCUGUUUACUGGGUGAUUUAGUUGGAGAGGAACGAAAGGAUUUCAAGGAAACUUUAGAAGAAGAUAUCAGGGGAAACUCUUGAAGAGGAAAUCAAUGUUUUUAUGGGCUUCUGUUCCUUAAGUAUACCGAUGCGCUUCUCUUUUUUCAUUUUGGAAACUGGGAUACUGUUUUGCAGUAAUAAUGCUUGAUGUUGCCAUUUUUUAUAGGACUACACUACAGGAUUUUUUUUUUUUUUUUUUUUUUGUCCUUCUAAUACAUCUUUUAUAAGUAUUUGGUUACUUAUCAAAGAAGGAAUGGAAAGGCUUCCCAUCUAGCUGUUGAGUGGCCCUUGGAGAUGUAAGUAGCAUGGCAGGAAGAACAACGUAAUGAAGAAAACAUUUAUUGAAAGGGGCUGUCCUACCACUUCUUUCUUUUUUUUUAAAUAAGAAGGCUAAAAAGGAAACUGAUGUUUAAUUUAUGAAUGCAUUGUUCUCUUUCAGAAUAUCUGAGGUCCCUUUAAAUUUGAAUCUACAUUUUCCUCUAUUUUUCAGUUUAGAAGAAUAACUAUUAUAUUAUGGUGUUUCUUUUUGAGGAGUGUCUUUCAUUAUAUACGGGUAUUGAAUAAUUUUAAGUUCAAUAUGAUAUAUCCUUCUUUUGUUACUCUGUUAGGUUUUUGGUGGAUAAUAUGUCCUUGAUUCGUGGAUGGCUCGUUCGCUCUUUUGUCAUCCUCGCAUGCACUAUGACAUUCUUUGUUUCUUCUCAUUCAGUUAUUAUGUAUAUACCUGUAUAUAUAUCCCUUCUUAUUUCCUCUUUAUGAAUAAAUUUUAUUGUUCCCAAGAGGUAGUUUUUGCACAAAUGGAUGAAGGGGAAGCAAGUGGUUUUUAGAGAUUAGACUAGUAUUGUUUGCUAAAGUUACUUUCCAUUUCAAGUCAGAUGAUGGGAAAUACAAAUGAGAAAUGCGUUCACUUUGCAUAAACUGUUUAUUUUUUAACAAAUAACUCUCAAAUAGAUUUAGUAGAAAGUGAAAAAUAUAUUGUUCUUCUAUUUCGCUUUCUUGCUGCCGCGUCUCUUUCUUUGUUAUUUUUUAUUUUUUUAUUUUAUUUAUUUUGGUUAAUUUCUAUUCACCCCCUGUUGUUUUGACUAUCGACAACCCACCCUCAACCUAUUGAAAACAUCAACCGAACGCCCAUUUACCAUUCAAAAGUUUAGGGUAAAUGCAGGUUGCGUUGGUGAAUGCUUCCUCGGUUUUUGUCUUCUUGAUGGUAAAUGCGGGUGGGAUGAUGUUUUCAAUAGGUUGGGGUGGCGGGUUGAAGAUAGUCAAAACAUCUAGGGGUAAAUAUAGUUGACCCUUUAGUUUUGCUCAAAGAAGAUCUUUCUGAUUGGUAUUAUUUUGCUAGAUCGGUGUCUUCCUAACUUAAGUUCCCUUGCUUAUUUUGGUAUGACAUCGUAUUUGACUUGAUUGUCUCCUGAAAAGUCAGGAUUGGUAACAAAGUGUCGUCUCUUCAUCUGUCUGUGUACUAACUAUGUGCAUGUUUUUAUGUGAUGCAAUUUCUGAGUGGUGUGUAGUUGAUUGGACAGAGAUGUGCGUUUGCUGUUGAAUGCUAAAAGAUCAGUUGCUGGAAGCUCUAAAGGAGAAUUUAUCCUCAUGGAUACAAAGUAGGUUGGAAGGAUGGGAAAUUAGUCGCAUCUAAUUUCUUUUCUUCUUCAUUUUUUAAUUUGCAAAAAAAUUGUGGUAAGGGGUUGGCUGGUGGUAUCUCUUAACUCUUCAGUCUGACUUUGGGCUACCGAAUAUGGCUUCUUGCACCUUCUUGUGAAGCAAUGAGCAUGGAAGAAACAAAUGUAUUGAGCCUUGACUCUCAACCUCUUACUAUGUUGAUAUCAUUGGUGUCAUAUAAUGCUUGCAUUAGUCGGUAAUUCAUUCUAAAAUUUAUUCAACUAGUUGGAUUUUAUUAUAUUGAUCUCCAGAUUAAUUGUUGGUUUCAAGUUUUGCUCCUUUCAUUAAAUUUCCUUCUCAAGAUUUGGUUAUUGUUGGUGUAGCAAAAUCAUGGAAAACCACGAUGGAAAGAAAUGAAAAUUUCUGGUAACUCUACUUCCUCUACUAGUACAAUGUCCAUUAUAUGCCAUAGGUAUUUGGUAGAUGUAUCUUGUUAACAUCGUAGAAACAUAUAACCUGAAGUAUAAAACGGUUCUAUAAUGGACCAGACCAAAGCUGCGUACUGCUUUCAAGCAUUUGGAGCAUGUUAACUUGCUCUUCGUUGCACAGUCUCUCUUAUUUGAGUUUCUGCCUCUACAUGUGCAUUUGCUAGGACUUUAUGCAUCACCCAAAUACUCAGUCUUUAAGCCUUAAUAAUAUGGCUGGACUAUGUUUGGGAUUUAGAUGUUUCAUUGUAGCUUGGCACAAGUAGUAUUAGAGCUUCUGUUGUGUUUCUAUGCUUUAAUUUCUUAUGGUAAAUUGUCAGUUGAAUUUUGUAAAGGCUAAUCGGCAGUUGAAGUUGAUGAUCCAGCAGGGCAUCUUAAUGUGCUGUAAUGGUUGAUGUUUGGGCAAAAUCAUGUGGUAAGCCUUACCUUUUGAAGCUUCACUUCUCUGUAAAUGAUUUCCCACAUUUUUGUAGGCGAAUUUCGGCAAUUCACUCAAAACACAGUAAGAUCCGACUGCAUUAACCGAUAAGCGCGCAUGCACUAGGAUAGAGAAAAUCAGCGUCCGUUAGGAAACAGACUUAGUUAUGGCCCAACCAAAUAGCCCGAGUGCAGCCCAAUUUAGUAAGCAUGUUUUGGGAUUUUUGUUUUCGUUUUUCUAAUUACUAUCGAGACCCGCUCUUACGGAACUCUACUCACCUGAGUACCUAACAAAACUUCCGCGGUUCUGAUUAUUAAAUUGGUCGAGUCCGGGUCGACACGAUUUUUUCCAUGUCGGGUUAGGGUUAAAAUUCUUAACCUAUUUACCCAAUUAAUGACCUGAUUAUAUUUUUUAUUUUAAAAUAAUUUAUAAAUUUUUGUCAUCAAAACUCAAAUAUUAGAGAUGAUUUUAUUUUUUAUUUUUUAUUUUUAUUCUUUAAAAGGAUUAAUAUAAACACAUUGUUUUAGUUAUAAAAUUUUAAAUAUAUUUAGAGCUUCAAUAGUAUAAAUGUGUAAAAUAUUAGUAGACAUGUAUAUUUUGUAAUAUUGAUAUAUAAUAUUAUUUACAUAUAUAUAAUUAAAACCUCAAUAGUAUAAAUGUGUAAUAUAUUGGUAGAUAUAUAUAUUUUAUAAUAUCGAUAAAUUAUGUAUGUAUGUAUUUAUGUACAUACGUAUGUAUGAUAGUGUGUAAAUAUUUUAUGUAACUUUUAUUCAAUAUAUAGAUAUUAAACGGGUUAUUGGGUAACCCGAUUAUUUUUCCGUGUCGGGUUUGGGUCUCGAUAUUUUGACACGAUUAUUAAAUGGGUCGGGUUUGGGUCGACCUAAAUUUGACACGACACGAAGCU